rnacentral:rRNA from 1 species
UACGGAGGGUGCAAGCGUUAAUCGGAAUUACUGGGCGUAAAGCGCACGCAGGCGGUUUGUUAAGUCAGAUGUGAAAUCCCCGGGCUCAACCUGGGAACUGCAUCUGAUACUGGCAAGCUUGAGUCUCGUAGAGGGGGGUAGAAUUCCAGGUGUAGCGGUGAAAUGCGUAGAGAUCUGGAGGAAUACCGGUGGCGAAGGCGGCCCCCUGGACGAAGACUGACGCUCAGGUGCGAAAGCGUGGGGAGCAAACA